UAAUAAGUGUUUUAUGGCACUUUUUAAAUCCAUAUCCACCUUGUGUGCAAUGUCAGUCGAUCUUCUUCAUGGAGAUCGACCAAACAUCAACCUUUAUUUUUUAACUCUUUGUCUGAAAAAUAUCAUGAAUAAACAAUUCAAAAUA
rnacentral:misc_RNA from 1 species